UACGGAGGGUGCAAGCGUUAUCCGGAUUCACUGGGUUUAAAGGGUGCGUAGGAGGGCAGGUAAGUCAGUGGUGAAAUCUCCAAGCUUAACUUGGAGACUGCCGUUGAUACUAUCUGUCUUGAAUAUUGUGGAGGUGAGCGGAAUAUGUCAUGUAGCGGUGAAAUGCUUAGAUAUGACAUAGAACACCAAUUGCGAAGGCAGCUCACUACUCAAUCAUUGACUCUGAGGCACGAAAGCGUGGGGAUCAAACAGG
rnacentral:rRNA from 1 species